rnacentral:rRNA from 1 species
GAAGGUGUUCGUCUUAUAACCCAGCUAAUAGCGUACCCGUAGUAAGCAUCGCUAACUCCGUCCAGCAACUGCGUAUUCGGAUGGUCCAGCGUUAUUGUACUACUGGCGUAAGCGCAUGCAGCGAGUCUGUUCAGUGGAGUUGUAAUCCCCAGGCUCACCUGGGAUCUGCAUCGUAUACUGGCUGGCUUGAGUGCUGUAGAGGGGGGUUAGAAUACCAGGUGUAGCGGUGAAAUGCGGUAGAGAUCUUGGAGGAAUACUGUUGCGAAGCGGCACCCUGGACAGAAGACUGAUGCUCAGGUGCGUAGCGUGGGGGGGCAAUCAGGUUUUGAUGCCCUGGUUGUCCACGCCGUAAACGAUGUCUACUCGAGGUUGUGCACUGAGGCGUGGCUUCCGGAGCUAACGCGUUAUCAGUCCACUGGCAGUAUAGCCGCAAGGUAAAACUCAAAUAAAUGUCGGGGGCCCGCUCACGCGGUGGAGCUGUGGUCAUUCGAUGCAACGCGAAGAUCCUUUCCUGGUCCUGACAUAACGGAUUUCCAGAGAUGGUUAGGCGACUCCGGGAAAAGUGAAACAGGUGCCGCAUAACGUUGGUCAGCGCUGAUUGUGAAAUGUUGGGUUAAGUCCCGCAACGAGCGCAACCCGAAGUCUUCGAUCCAGCUCUUAAGUCGGGAACUCCAAGGAGACUGCCUGGGAUUAACUGGAAGAAGGGGGCGAAUGCGUCAUGUCAUCAUGGUCCUGACGACCAGGGCUACACACGUGAUACAAUGGCGCUUACAUAGAGAUGCCACCUCCCGA